rnacentral:lncRNA from 1 species
CGACCUUUACUAUAAAAUAAUAACUUGAUAAAACAAAGUUCGGCUUUGUAAUGGGUGGACUUAAAUAUUCAGACGGAGAGAAAUUUUUAUUGGUCAUAUGUGUAAUAAAAAUAUCCAAAAAUAAUCUUAAAAUCAGUCAAGACAUGGCGUAGCAAACCUAUCUAUACAGUAAAAUAGCAAAUCAUAUCAGUGACAGCAAAGGCAAAACAAAAAGCAAAAUAAUAAUGAAAUAUCAAUGAACAAGAUCCAACAAAGAAGAAAACAACAAAAAUAAAUGAUCAUAGUAAUUGGAGAAGAAAAAAGUCCUAAACAGUGAUGGUGUUGAUGUUGCUUCAACGGCAUUCACCGGAGCAACGUCUGGGAUCGCAAAAGUCAGGCCAGAUCUGGGCAUGUUGGUGAGACAGUGGAGAUAAAAUGAAAAACAUAGUGGUGGCAGCGGUUUCUUCGCCGGUUGUCAACUCCGACGAAGAAACAACGGAAAGGAGAAAAAGGCGGCGGCACUGGUGUGCUUAGCGGCUGGACAUCCUGUCGGUGACCAAUUCCGGCGCGGUGAAAAAGGGGAAAGGAAAGAGGGGCGCUGCUGGCUGUUGGUCUUUCCGCUGGUGGAGCUCCGAUGAUGGUUCACGGAGAUGAUGGGGAGAAGAGGACGGUGAUAAUGGUGUUUUGCCGGCGAUGCAGCUCGCCGGAGCAGCGGCGUCAUUGGUUGGUGGUUUCUAGAGAAAAAAAAAGGACAUAAUAUAUAAAUAUGACCCUAAAUUUGACACUAAAUUAUAAUUUUGACCUUAAAUUUUGACAAUGCACAAAUAGAAAUUUUAACUAUUCAAAAUUGGAAUAAAUAUAACUUCUGAUUUUGCAAACCCCAUGUGUGAGUUUCCCUUGCACCUACGUGAAAACGUAAGUCAAUCACACGGUGCUACAUCAUUAAAAGAGCUGACAUGGCAUGAUGAUGCAGUUUCAAUUAAAACGACGUUAUUUUGCUUCUAUAAGUCAAGACGAGGUCG